CUACGGGGGGCAGCAGUGGGGAAUAUUGCACAAUGGGGGAAACCCUGAUGCAGCAACGCCGCGUGGAGGAUGACGCAUUUCGGUGUGUAAACUCCUUUUAUAUAGGAAGAUAAUGACGGUACUAUAUGAAUAAGCACCGGCUAACUCCGUGCCAGCAGCCGCGGUAAUACGGAGGGUGCAAGCGUUACUACGGAAUCACUGGGCGUAAAGCGCGCGCAGGCGGCCCCUUAAGUUGGAUGUGAAAGCCUACGGCUUAACCGUAGAACUGCAUCCAAAACUGAGGGGCUAGAGUCUGGGAGGGGAAGAUGGAAUUAGUUGUGUAGGGGUAAAAUCCGUAGAGAUAACUAGGAAUACCAAAAGCGAAGGCGAUCUUCUGGAACAGUACUGACGCUGAGGCGCGAAAGCGUGGGGAGCAAACAGGAUUAGAUACCCCUGUAGUC
rnacentral:rRNA from 1 species